ensembl:lncRNA
CCCCCCCCCCCCCCCCCCCCCCCCCCCCCCCCCCCCCCCCCCCCCCCCCCCCCCCCCCCCCCCCCCCCGGCCCGUGCCCGGCCCCGUGUAGGAGGUGUCGGUGAUCUCGCCCCGCUCCAUCUUGAACUCGUGCUCCAGCUGCAUCUUCUUGGAGAUGACGUUUUUGAGGAGACUGGAGGCGAACCUGGACUUCUUGCUGGACCCCUUCCCGCCGCCCUCCACAGCCGGCGGCUCCCCGGCCUCGGCGGCAUCGCCGAGGUCCAGCAGGGUCACCACCCGGGAGCCCGCCCGCAGCCGCCGCGGCGUUUCGACGUGGGCGAUUUCCCCGUCGAGCUUGCUGACCACGAACUCGAGGGCUUUGGUCUGCGAGCGGCCGGAGCGCAGCAGGCUGGGCUCGGCUCUCGGCCCCAGGCUGCCGCACUUGAGGUCCAGGUAGGUGGACCAGCGGUUGAUGCCCAGGGCAUUAUCGGACAGGGAGGCGGAGGAGGCGCGGGAGCCGGGGCGCAGGGUGUCGAAAUAGGGGUACGCCAGGCUGCGGAAAGCCCUGGCCGUAAGGUUUCGCACCUCUUUGUCGGCAUCGUCCAGCUCGCUGACGGCGCUGGAGGCGCCGCUGGAGUGCUCCCCUGCCCUGGCGGCCCCGCACCGCGUCUGCAGCCGCGCGGGCACCGCGAUGAACUUUUUCGCGUGGUCGCGGACUGCAUCCUGUUUUAAACUCGCACUGCGGUCUGGAGCCGCGGCGACACGGAGACUCAUGUCGCCUUCAUGCUUGGCAGCGUAAACAGUGUUUUGCUUUCCGUGCACGUUGCUAGACUCAUUUAUAGCCCGGGAAGCGGCUUUGAUUGAUAGGAGAAGCUGGGCGCCCGGGCUCCCGCCGGGGCGGCCGGGCUGCUUGGACCGGCUUUCCUCCGAGCUGGCGCGCUUGUCCCCGCCGGGGGUGUCGUGUUCGGAGGUAAGGCUGACGAUCUCGGUGCUGCUGGUGUUGUCGAUGCUGUCCGUCUGGUUGUUGGGGUCGCUGGUGGUCGUGCUAAGGUAGCAGCUAUUCUCCUCCUCCUCCGUCAGCGUGUCCCCCGGGGUCUCGUCGCUCCCGAAGGAGGCGUAGUCAACGAAGGAGUAGAUCACGUUGUUAUCCUCGAAGUCCCAGCGGGCGGCCAGCCCCGCGUCGAAGUCCAUGUCGUGGUCCACCUCGCUGAGCUGGAUCUCCUGCGUGCUGAUAUAGUGCGCCUCGUCGCGGCCGCCGCCGGGAGGGGUGCCCGGGGGGGCGCCGGGGGGAGUCGCCUUGCGCCCCGCGACCUCAUCCUCCACUUCGCUUUCGUAGCCGAAGGAGGACGAGGAGGUUUUGCCCUCCGUCGACACCGGGUCGCUCAUAGCGGGAAAGUCGUCCGCCUUGGUCACGGGCGAGGGGCAGGAGGAGGAGGAGGACUCCGGGCAGCCCCCCGCAUCCGGCGUCCCGCCGCUCCCCGCCGCUUCCACGGAGCCGGGGCCGGUGUCAGCGCCGCAUUCCGCCGCCGCCGGGGAAGGAGGGCGAUCCCGCCCGUGGUCCAAGGAUGCUGGCCCUGCUUCCUCCCCCGGGGGUCCACCGCUCGCCGAGUCGCCAUCCCCGGUCCCACCGGCUCCGCUGUCCGGUGCGGGACCCCCCCCCCCCCCCCCCCCCCCCCCCCCCCCCCCCCCCCCCCCCCCCCCCCCCCCCCCCCCCCC